rnacentral:lncRNA from 1 species
AUAUUAAAUCAUAUUGUCUAAAUUACAUUGUAAUUUCUUUUUUGAAACGUUAGUAUAUUUCCUAAGUAAAUUUUUCUACUUAACUUUUAAUUGACAUCUAGCAUAAUUACUUUAGGUCUGAGUAGGUAUUAUAUUAUUUUAGUCAUUUAAAUGUGUUGUGAUUUUCUUUAUAAACCUAUUCAUGGUAAAUUUGUAAAAAUGAUUCAUGUGUAAGAAUUUGUAUUUUUUAGUUGUUGGGAGCAGUACUCUAACCCCAUUAAGUCAAGUUUGUUAAUCUUCCAUUUCUUGUUUUUUUUUUCACCUGUUUUAUCAAUAGCUCACACAACUAUAUUAAAAAGUAGGUAUGAAUGUAGUGCAAGAAAUUAUUUUCUUCUUGUUAUAAAAUCAAAAUGAAAUUGACUCCACCAAGAAUUGGUGAGAAUUUUGAAUAUUUUAAUGUCAUCAUCAUUGUGAGUUCUGCUCUAUCCAUAGAUCCUGGAAGCAAAAGUCUUCUGGUCCUCAGUGCACACUCUUUGCUCCAAACCCUAUAGGUUGUGGUUUCAGUGUCAAGUAAAGGUACAGGGAUCCCUGAUGGGGCUAGAAUCUGCAUAACCAAGGCUUCAGCUCCCUGGCAGAGCCACACUCUGAAUUCCUAGCCCGACACACCGUGGAACAAAAACUGAGAAUUGGAUUGAAGAACUGGAUUGAGAAAAGGAAACACUUUGGUGAAAUCACAACCUGUAAACAGACCUCAAAACAUAGUGUUCACUCAACUGAAGCUGAACGUUCUAUAGCCUGGGUUCAUUUGGCUUGAUUGCGCAUCACUUGUUUACUUGGUGUGUAUAACACUCCACAGGAGUCACAGGGUCCUUUUAUAGGCAUCUCUGGUCUGUUGUGGGCCCCGGGUAGUCAUAGUCCCACUGUCUUGCUCAUUAUCCUCCUGCACCCCCAACACAACUGGACAUCACACACUAACUUAACAAUUCAGCCUCCUUCCAACUGUCUUACCCCUUCUAUCUAGUUUCUUCCUGCCUUAAUUAACUUCCUAGCAUCAUAUGAAUAAUCAUUUGUUUGUUUGCUCAUCCUAUUGUGGUUGCCCAUCCUAUGAUCUUAACAAGUACUCAGCCUUCCUUGAAUGAAAGCUAUAGACCCUCUGUUAGUAUUUUCUUUUUAAUUGGGGUAGGGUGGCUUAGUGAACAUGGACCUGACAGUGUUGGUUUAAAAUCCAGUGACCAUUGCAUAGUUCCACUUUAAAAUGCCCUAUGUCACAUUAGUGUGAAUGCACAGAGGCACAGACAGGCCCAGGGUCUCAGGUUAGAAAAUAUGAUGAGGGGAGGGGUUUCUUCUAAAGAGAACUGUGGAAUUGUCGGAUGUGAAUCUGGGCCUGUUGUUCGUUUCUCGCUAUGCAUGUUUCCAUGGGACGGACACUCAGUUGUUACUCUCGCUCUCUCCCACCACUUCCGCUCUCUUUCACAGGAAGAGGCGGGUCCUACCCUGAUGGAAACCGGUUCUGGUCUCUGUCCAAUGGGAGUCGCUUCCUGUCCUGCACCUUCCCAACCACAUCAGUGAAAGGGUGGAAGUGCUGGUCUGCCCACUGCAGGCUUAACCCAUGUUCUUCCUACUAGGAAAGGGACGUUUCCAUUUUCAUCCACCUGACUCCCGAGUUGGUUGCAAAGAUGGAAGAAAGGAACAGCCAUUUAUUCUCCUGGAGGCAGGCCCUGCCGGACUUGAGAGGGCCUUUCCUCUGACCCUAAGCAUCAGAGCGGAUGGAGACAGAAAAUCCUGAGGCCGCUGUAUGGUGGGUCUCUUCACAGCCAUGGGGCCCAGCCCCACUCGCCUCCACCAGGUUAUGGCCCAGCAGCUGGGACUCCGUCCAGAAGAGCACCUGCAGCACGUAUCCUGUGUUCUCCAUCAAAGCGGCCUGGAGUCCGCCUGCGUCCCCAGCAAGCAGCACUCCCGCCCUAAAACCAAAGGGCGCAGCAAGGAAAUGGGAGGGCUGCGCUUUGCUUCCUGUCUGAUAACUACCAACAACCGGGCUUCUGCCCAGCAUAGCUAGAUAAGGGGAGGGCACUCCAUUUGACAUGCCCUGAAGACUGUCCAAGCGAUGGCUUAGGAAGGCCAUUCCAAUUUCAAGUCCUGAAAGCUGUAAGAUUUUUCUGUGACUUAGAGUGAUUUAUAACAUAGUUUAACCUCUCAAAGCUUCACAUCUGUAAAAUAUGGAUAAAACUAUCUCAAAGCGGUAUUGUGCAAGUUAAAUGAAAAAGAUAGUGUAUGCACAUUGUUUGGCACUAAGCUAUUAUUAUUAUCAAAAGUAGUAGCAAUUAGUAUUAUUGUUUAAAGGAGAAAAUGAUAUCCAUUGGGAGGCUCCUCUUUGGACCUGAAAGCUUAAUAUCUGGAAUUACUUAGAACUGGAAUGCCAGCCUCCGCCUCCUGCCAGCAGCCUGCUGCCAAUUCUGAUGAGACAGCUUAGAAACCAUUGCCCUGAUGCCAUAGAAAAGAAGAGGACAGCUAGCCUUUUCCUUUCUCUUCACCCUUAAUUUAAAAAGGUUGGGCAAGUUACACAUCCACCCACCUCCAAACCUUUCAAACAAGUUUCAGUUAUAUUCUUGCCGAGUAGAAAAACCAAAAAUUAAUAAGAGAACUUACUUAAAAUAAAAAGUUGUUAACAUCUUGAUACAUCCUGGCUUUCCAGUUAAGAGACUUUACAGAAUGGUUCGUGACUUCUACACCAAAUUCUUUCUUGUAUAUUUUGUCUACACCCCACCCCUUCCUUAGCCUCAACCUCAUGAGUGCAAAUGGAGAUCAGCCCUGGCUCCUGGCAUCCCACGACGACUUGGAGGUGGAAAUUGUUAGUCUGGAGUGGGAUUGAGGGCCCCUGAGGCAGACUGACACUCUUUCAGCUGAUGCAUGUCUAAUGCUGAGCAGGCUGUGACCAACCACCCUCAGGACAUGUUUUUAUGCAAGUGUGCUGUAGGGGGUGGUCUUCCUCAUAAGUGAGAAAACAUGAAAGCAAAGUUCAUUUAUCCCAUCAGUUGGCUGCUUCUCACCAUUCACCUGGGCCCUGCAGUGCUGAGAAAAUAGGAUGUAUUUUAAUCUCCAAGCAGACUGGACUCCAAUCAAUUUAGAGACACAGAGCCACAACAUAAUUCAAUUUGGGGUGAUUCCACUGUCUCUGUAAUGUCUAAAGCCCUAAUGUACUGCUGACUCUUAGGACAAACUGGCACUGAUCAAGAGUGAGGCCACUAAGCCAUCACUGAUUUCAGACUCUCACCCCUGACUUUCUAUGUAUGGACAACACUUAAUAUUUCACAGAACCCAAGUUGCACUGGACCGAAGAAGACCUAAAUAGCCAUGUAGUCCAUGUGCUGCCAAACACCUGGCAAAUAGUUGCAUGGUUGUUAAAUAAGCACACCUCAUAUCCAGGAACUCCUGGACAAAGGCUGACCAUUCCAUCUGGACCUCCUCCAACUUCUAAAAAGCUUUCUCUUGAAUUUGGCCAAUGGGCAUCCCUGCUGAGCCCACCUUUAGUCCAGAUGUUACCUUUCUGGAUGUUCAUUCAUGCAUAUAGCUGCAAACGUUUUCCAACAGCUUGAUAUUGCUAGGCACUGUGCUGGGUCCUGAAUCAAUGGGUGAUAAGGGUAAUCCCACUUUCAGCAGAGACACUGACAGCCCCUACUUGACAUGGUCCUGGGUUCUCUCAUUCCCCUUGUCUCUCCCCACUGAACCUGCACUAACUGUCCUAUGUCCCUCUUUAAGUGUAGGCCCAGAAUUGAUGUUGCAGUCUAAUGUAUAACAAAUAAGUCCUCGUUUGUGACCUGUUUCAGAAAAUGCAACCUAAGAUUGGGCAGUCAUGUCACCUUCCCGUUUAAUUUUCUGUCCAUAUGAGGCAAAAUAGCUUAAGAUUAAGAAAAAGCUUUUGGAAUUAACUAGCCCUGGAACAAGCAUUUGUUGCACCUCUUACGCUGCAGAGCUGGGCAAAUUGUUCAAUCUGUCAAGACAUUUUUUUAAGUGUACCGUAGGGGCAGUUGGAAGGAGUAAUGAGGCAGUGUGUAUACAGCACCUGACCUAGUCAUGGCUCAUUAAAAGCUGCUAUUCUACAUCUCAUUGCUGUCAUCUCCAAAACGCUGAAGUCUUUUCACAUGUGCUGCUGCUCCAUCAAACUCCCAGAUGUUUUGGGGAGGACUGGAUGGAGGUCCUAACACCUUCAAGAUCUAACCCGUCACCUCAGCCUGUUCUUUGGCAUCCUGGAUGUGUCACAUAACCUAUUGUCAUCUCAGCCCCAUGGCAUUUGGAGCUGAGAUCAGGAUAGCUUCUGUAUCCUCAUCUGAGUAAAGUAUGACCAAGCAAUGGGUCACUUUGGGGCGCUGCAGAACAUCUGUGCUUUCCCUGUGCCCCAUCACCUUCCCAGCUCCUGAGCUGUAGCCAUCUCUGCUGCACCUGCUGUCAGAGGGCAGCUCCUCCGGCUCCUGCUCCUGGGUUGCAGGUGCCACAUCUGUGCAGAAGGCUUAGGAGAAGCAGUGAGCCUUCUAACUGCAGCAGUCCUGACAAAGCACUUUGUGAACCCCUCCGGGACAUAAGGGCAUCAAACUAGGAACAAAAACACAGUCUUGACUGUGAUUUGGUGAUUUUACCACAUACAAGGCCCGAAAGCCAAUUGAAGACAAGAAAAGAAGACAAAUCUCUUGCCAGCAGGAGUAAGAUUGUACAGGAGUCUGAGUAUACAUCAGGGCAAGCCAAGAGACAGGGACAAACAGAGAGAAAAGGUUCAUGCAAUUAUGAAUAUGACCUGGAGGGGGCUUUGGAAUUAGAUUACAACAGUAACAGAGAGUUAAUGCCAUUUUGAAACAAUUUAAGAAUUAUGUAUUUGAAGGAACUCAGUAUUAUCAUGUUAUCCAAAAUUAUCCCAGUUGCUCAUAAGACUUGCUAAUAACCUGGACUGGGGGUGGAGGGUUGAGGGAUCUAAUGGAAAACAUCUGUUAAAAUUGAAUAUGAUAAUCAUGUCUUGUUUUUAUGAUCUUGCUCAUGAGACAGUCUUGAAG